rnacentral:misc_RNA from 1 species
CGAAUCAAGGGAAGCGUGCCGGUGCAGGCAAAUGACCACCGUAAGCGUCGUUGCAACCAAUUAAGCGCCGAUUCCAAUCAGCGCGACUACGCACUCGCUGCCUAAGUAGCGAUGCGUGUCUGUCAGACCGGGAGCGCCCUCGGCCCGGACCCUGGCAUCAGCUAGAGGGACCCACCCACGGGUUCGGUCGCGGGACCCGUGGGGACAUCAAACAGCGACUGGGAUCGUCAUCUCGGCUUGUCUGCGUGACCGGGAGAUCCACGUAGAGGCAUAGCGGACUGCGCACGGA